CCAGAAGUAAGGUUGAAAGAUGAAUGAGGUAAUGUAUGGUAAUAGACCAGACCCUUGCUUUGUAGAGGGAGGGACUGGCUAUGUGAGACUAAUAAGGAAUGAAUCUAAUCAAGUGGAAAUUUGUACUCAUUACAAGUCCUUUUAUGUAUAUAGUGGCUGAAUGAAUAUGGAAAAUUUACUGUCUCAAAGCAAAAA